AUGGAACAGCGGCGCCGCCGGCGACCUCAAUCCGCCCCAUCCCCGGCAAGCGACCACGAUUCGAGCUCGUUGGCGGCGGCGCCCGGUCGGCAGGAGGGGACGAUGCGCGCACGAGGUGGUCGCCAUCUCUCGACCCCGCCUCCCUCUACACCGGGUGACCGGCCAGAAUAUAAGCAAUUGAUGGAGCGACCGAGUCCUAGUGGACAUGUUAUUGACGAGGUCACCUAUCCCACACCUAUUCCUCAACCUUCAUGGUCAUUGGAUGACCUUCCUACGAAAGUAGCUUGUACACUAGCACAGGGAUCUAAUGUAACUAGCAUGGACUUUCAUCCUUUUCAUCAUACACUACUACUAGUUGGGUCUGCCAAUGGUGAAUUUACACUCUGGGAGAUCGGUAUGCGUGAGAGGCUGGUCUCAAAACCCUUCAAAAUUUGGAAUAUGCAAGCAUGUUCAGCACAAUUUCAGUGUGUGGUGUCUAAAGACCCGUCCAUAGCCAUCAGUCGAGUUACAUGGAGCCCUGAUGGAGACUUGAUUGGAGUUGCAUUCACAAAACAUUUGAUCCACCUACAUGCAUACCAGCAUCCAAAUGAAACACGCCAAAUUGUAGAGAUUGAGGCUCAUUCUGGAGGGGUUAAUGACAUAGCUUUCUCCCAGCCAAAUAAGCAACUUUGUGUUGUCACUUGUGGAGAUGACAAGCUGAUAAGGGUCUGGGAUAUGCAUGGACAGAAAAUAUAUUCGUUUGAAGGGCAUGAGGCAUCUGUAUAUUCUAUUUGCCCUCAUCACAUGGAGUGUAUUCAGUUUAUUUUCUCAACUUCCAUUGAUGGGAAAAUUAAGGCAUGGCUUUAUGACAAUUCGGGGGCCAGGGUUGCCUCUGAUGCUCCAGGAAAAUGGUGUACUACAAUGCUCUAUAGUGCCAAUGGAACUAGGCUGUUCUCAUGCGGAACAAGCAGAGAGGGAGAGUCGCAUUUGGUUGAGUGGAACCACAAUGAUGUAUCUAUCAAGAGGACAUAUUCUGGAUUUCGCAAAAAGCCAUCUGGUGUAGUGCAGGGUGUCGUGCAGUUUGAUACAGCUCAGAAUCGUAUUUUAGCUGCCGGUGAAGAUAACCAAAUUAAGUUUUGGGAUGUUGAUAGCACCAGCAUGCUAACCUGCAUUGAAGCUGACGGAGGCUUGCCAAGCCUUCCACGGAUAAGGUUCAAUAAAGAAGGGAAUCUUCUUGCUGUUACUACAGUUGGCAAUGGCUUUAAGAUACUUGCAAAUGCCGAUGGGCUCAGAUCUUUACCGGCUUUUGGUAACCAGCCUUUCGAAGUAUUUAAAUUGCCAUAUGAAGCUUCUGCAAUGAAGGUCUCAGGUGCUCCUGUUGUCGCGGGUAUCUCUUCUAACAUUGGCCGAAUGGAUCACUUAGACAGAAACUCUCCUGUGAAGCUAUCUCCUAUAAUGAAUGGUGGUGAUCCAACAUCUAGAAGCAUGGAUAUGAAGCCAAUAAUUUCCAAAGAAAAGCUUGAUAAAGGGAAACCUUGGGAGCUGAUAGAAGGUCUAAAUGCCGAACGAUUUUGUGUAGCUACAAUGCCAGAAACUCCAUACCGAGCUAGCAAGGUUCGAUCCAUCUGUCCAGAGGAGUCAGUACCCCAUGCAUUGAACUCCAAGAAUGAUUCCUAUGUGAUGUCUGCAUGUGCUGGAAAGAUAUCCAAGGUGCUCAACGACGAUGACCUCCUCAGGGAGAUCAUCAUCCGCAUCAGCUUACCCGCCACCCUCGUCCGUGCCGCCCUUGUCUGCAAGCGUUGGUACCACCUCGCCUCUGAACCAGCCUUCCUCCGCUGGUUCCGUGAGUGCCACCCGCCCUGCCUCCUUGGCUUCUUCCUUGAGGACCAGGAGGAUAGUAACGCCGCUCCUUUCCGCUUCUUCCCGAUGCUACCUCAGCCCCCAGAGCUUGCCGCUGCCGUCCACCGCGUGGCGAGCUACAGCUUGGACUACUACAGGGGCGCACCGGCCAACUUACUCUGCUCCCGGAAAGGUAGAGUCCUCAUUAGCUUGUACAACCAGGUUGACCGCAACAAAUUUGCAAUUGGGGUUCACAGUCCGUUGUGUCAUGAGAGAGGCCAGUCUGUCAUCCCAUCAUUCCCACAUGUCCAAAUACAGGACGACUAUUCCCACAGGAUGAGUGAUCUUCUCGUGGUAGAAGAAGCUGAUGGAUUGUCCUACUUGCAUCUGUUGGUGGACUCUAACAUGCAGAGAACAAAAUCAAUGGUACACGUUCAUAUGUUGCGACAUAGUGAAGGUGUGUGGCGCACGUAUCUGACCUUGGAGACAGAUCAGCUCCUUGAUCCGCGACGAGAACCAAAAGUGCUUGCUAACAGUAAAAUCUACAUACCAAGCGCCCAGAGCGACAUUCUUGUCUUGGAUUUGACUGCCUCAAGCAUCUGUACAGUUCAGCUCCCACAAGGGGUGGAGUAUGGCGAUAAAGAUACUAUGUUGUCACUGGCUGAUGAGGCUUCGGGUGUUUAUCUCAUCCAUACCAAGAAGCUUCAGCUCCACAUCUGGCUCUACAAAGGGGACAACUGGUUAGUAGUGGACACUAUUUGUUUGCUUGAGAUGUUUGCUAAUUUGAGGAUGUCUGGUUGCAUGGUUGAGGACGAGUCUACUGCUCCUCUUCGGAUAAAUCAUGUGGGGGACUAUGCUGAGUUUGUAUUCCUGGAGAAGGGUCGAUAUGCACUCCACUUGGAUAUCAAGUACAAGCAAAUACGUAAAGUGUAUGACACGACAAAAGAAGAUCGGCGUUUUGGUACUAUCCAUCCUUUUAUGAUGAUAUGGCCUCCCUCAUUUCCUGCACUCAAGGAUGAUCAUACAAGAAAUGCCAUGUGA
rnacentral:rRNA from 1 species